UACGUAGGGUGCGAGCGUUAAUCGGAAUUACUGGGCGUAAAGCGUGCGCAGGCGGUUUUGUAAGCCAGAUGUGAAAUCCCCGGGCUUAACCUGGGAAUGGCAUUUGGGACUGCAAGGCUCGAGUGCGGCAGAGGAGACUGGAAUUCCUGGUGUAGCAGUGAAUGCGUAGAUAUCAGGAGGAAUACCGAUGGCGAAGGCAGGUCUCUGGGCUGACACUGACGCUCAUGCACGAAAGCGUGGGGAGCAAACAGG
rnacentral:rRNA from 1 species